AAGUCGUAACAAGGUUUCCGUAGGUGAACCUGCGGAAGGAUCAUUAACGCAUCUCUGACGGGGAGGGUGCCCUGCUCCGGCUCCGGCCGUAGAGCGGGUCUCCGAACCGCUCAACUUCACAAACCCCACCGUGCACUUUGACGGCGGAGGCCGCGGGGGACUCGUCCGCCGUGCGCCAAAGCCGGACUCACAAACACGAGUUGACAAGUAUGACAGCGGACGUUGUGCCGCCUAACACAAAACAACUUUCAACAACGGAUCUCUUGGCUCUC
rnacentral:misc_RNA from 1 species